AUGCACGUCUGCCGCUGUGCAAAGUGGUCUGGGUCGGCCCAGCGAGAUGCCUUGGAGCCCUUGGUGCAGACAAACAGAGAGGAAAGGUUUCUGAGUCAGCCCGUUCAAAACAAAAAGUUUUCCUGAGAACACGACUGAAUAAAGCUGGAAAAACCCACGUAUGCUUCUCUUCCUGCUGCUUGGACGUGAGCUUGUUUUAAAGAAACGAAAACGAGUUCUUAUCUGAUUCACACUGAAAUCCAACUGAGGUGGUUUAAAGCGUGAGAUCUACAGCAGGUAAGACGUUGUUCAACAUAACCUCGCUUUAACGUAUCAGUUUUCCUCCUGACUUAUUUAGUCAUGCACAAACAACUGCUGCUGCCAAGCUCUGCAGCAUCUGUAGUAGUGUAUACUUUUUAUUGCACGCUGCAUUAUUUUCUGUGUCCUUGAUUCUGCAGCG